UGGGGAAUAUUGGACAAUGGGCGCAAGCCUGAUCCAGCCAUGCCGCGUGAGUGAAGAAGGCCUUCGGGUUGUAAAGCUCUUUUUGGCGGGGACGAUAAUGACGGUACCCGCAGAAUAAGCUCCGGCUAACUUCGUGCCAGCAGCCGCGGUAAUACGAAGGGAGCUAGCGUUGUUCGGAAUCACUGGGCGUAAAGCGCACGUAGGCGGAUUUGUUAGUCGAGGGUGAAAUCCUGAGGCUCAACCUCAGAACUGCCUUCGAUACUGCAAGUCUUGAGUCCGGGAGAGGUGAGUGGAAUUCCUAGUGUAGAGGUGAAAUUCGUAGAUAUUAGGAAGAACACCAGUGGCGAAGGCGGCUCACUGGCCCGGUACUGACGCUGAGGUGCGAAAGCGUGGGGAGCAAACAGGAUUAGAUACCCUUGUAGUCCCUGAGCGGGCUGGCAAGGCGCAU
rnacentral:rRNA from 1 species